CGGGUGUGCAAUCAUUCUGUGGAGCGCCAGAGAUAUGGAUUGAACACAAUUUUUCAAAAUUUGCUGAAAAUAUGCAUAUUCCAAAUCCUACAAAAUGAAAAAAAAAAAAAAAGAAUUCACUCGGAGUUCAGUAUUUUUGUGAUUUUACUUUUGCAUUAAUAUCAAGUGUAUAACUUUAACAUGUGCCUGUUUAGUCUAUCCCGACCAAAUAGAAAAGAAUAUGUGAAAGAAUA
rnacentral:lncRNA from 1 species